AAUUAAUUUUAACGUCGCACAUAUACCGACACAUGUUUUCUGGGUGCUCUGCUGGGUUUUUGUCCAAGAGGGUUGAAUCAUGGGGUGUAUGGAGGCCUAAC
rnacentral:sRNA from 1 species